rnacentral:rRNA from 1 species
CAAGCUACUAAGGGUGAACGGUGGAUGCCUUGGCGCUGAGCGGCGAUGAAGGACGCGGCAAGCUGCGAUAAGCCUCGGGGAGCGGCAAACACGCUUUGAUCCGAGGAUUUCCGAAUGGGGAAACCCGGCGGGGGUCAUGCCCCGUCACGGCGGUCUGAAUACAUAGGGCCGUCGAGCAAACCCCGGGAAGUGAACCAUCUCAGUACCGGGAGGAAAAGAAAGAAAUUCGAUUCCGUCAGUAGCGGCGAGCGAAAGCGGAUCAGCCCAAACUCGAAGGCCUCCGGGUCUUCGGGGGUUGUGGGGCAGGGACCGGAUCAGAUCCGGGGAGUUACCAAUCGCGUGUCUAGGUGAAGGUCCUGGAACGGACGGCCACAGAGGGUGAUAGCCCCGUAGCCGAAAGACAUCGCGACUCCCGUCUCUGUACCCGAGUACCACGGGACACGUGGAAUCCCGUGGGAAUCCGGGAGGACCAUCUCCCAAGGCUAAACACGUCUCAGCGACCGAUAGUGAACCAGUACCGUGAGGGAAAGGUGAAAAGCACCCCUGUAAGGGGAGUGAAAUAGUACCUGAAACCGUUCAUCUACAAGCAGUGGAACCACCAUGGGGCAACCCGGUGGAACCGCGUGCCUUUUGCAUAAUGAGCCGGCUAGUUACCGUUCGUGGCGAGGCGAAGCAACGUGCUGAGCCGUAGCGAAAGCGAGUCUGAAUAGGGCGUCCAGUCACGGGCCGUACACGCGAAGCGGGAUGAUCUAGCCUGGGCCAGGAUGAAACGCGGGUAACACCGCGUGGAGGUCCGAACCGGUGUUUGUUGAAAAAAGCUCGGAUGAGCUCAGGCUAGGGGUGAAAGGCUAAUCAAAUUCCGUUAUAGCUCGUUCUCCUCGAAAUGCCUUUAGGGGCAGCCUCGGACGAAUACCUGCGGUGGUAAAGCUCUGGAUGGACUAGGGGCCUUACCCGGUUACUGAAUCCAACCAAACUCUGAAUGCCGCAGCGUACUAUCCGGGAGUGAGACGGCGGGGGAUAAGCUUCGUCGUCAAAAGGGAAAGAACCCAGAGCGCCAGCUAAGGUCCCUAAAUCAGUGCUCAGUGGAAAACGAUGUGGAGACGCUCCGACAGCCAGGAGGUUGGCUUAGAAGCAGCCAUCCUUUAAAGAAAGCGUAAUAGCUCACUGGUCAAGUGGCUCCGCGCGGACAAUACAACGGGGCUCAAGCACUGUACCGAAGCUGCGUAUGCACGGGGGAUGCGUCCCCCGUGCGUGGUAGAGGAGCAUUCCGUGCGCGUCGAAGGUAGACCGUAAGGACUACUGGAGCGCACAGAAGAGACCCUGCCGGCACAAGUAGCGAUAAAGCAGCUGAGAACGCUGCUCGCCGAAAGACUAAGGUUUCCUGAGCAAGGUCAAUCCGCUCAGGGUCAGUCGGGACCUAAGGCGAGGCCGAAAGGCGUAGCCGAUGGACAUCCGGUCAACAUUCCGGAACCGCUCUUCGAGCGACAAAGACCGAUGGGGUGACGCAGGAGGCUAGUUGGACCCACGCGUUGGAGUUGACGUGGGCCAAGCCCGUAGGCGGAGGGGAUAGGCAAAUCCGUUCCCUCGCUAACGCCGAGAGGUGAUGGGGUGGCCGCAAGGCCAGAAGUCGAUGAUGCCACGCUGCCUAGAAAAACCUCGUUUCGGAGCUCGGAGGGCGUCCGUACCGUAAUCCGACACAGGUAGUCAAGGAGAGAAUCCUCAGGCGCUCGAGUGAAGCGUUGCGAAGGAACUCGGCAAAUUAACACCGUAACUUCGGAAGAAGGUGUGCUUGCGUUCGUGUAGGGGCUUGCCCCCGAGGCGAUCGCGAGUUGCAAUAACCAGGCCCAGGCGACUGUUUAGCAAAAACACAGGACUCUGCAAAGUCGAAAACGACGUAUAGGGUCUGACGCCUGCCCGGUGCCGGAAGGUUAAGGAGAGGGGUUAGCCGCAAGGCGAAGCUCUGAACCGAAGCCCCGGUAAACGGCGGCCGUAACUAUAACGGUCCUAAGGUAGCGAAAUUCCUUGUCGGGUAAGUUCCGACCUGCAUGAAUGGCGUAACGAUCUGGGCACUGUCUCCGCAACGCGCUCGGCGAAUCUGUACUCCCGGUGAAGAUGCCGGGUACCCGCACGUAGACGGAAAGACCCUGUGCACCUUUACUACACCCUGGCCUUGAACUUUGGUGCUGUCUGCGCAGGAUAGG